AACGCACGAGACCUGCGGACCUGCGGAAGGAUCAUUAAUGAAUAAACUUGGUCAAGCUGUUGCUGGUCUCUCGAGACAUGUGCACGCUUGCCACCAACUUUAACCACCUGUGCACCUUUUGUAGACUGGAAACGUUUCUCGAGGCAACUCGGAUUGAGAAUUGCUGCGCGCAAGCCAGCUGUUCUUGUGUUUCUCAGUCUAUGUUUUCGUAUACUCCUAAUGUAUGUAAUCGAAUGUAUU
rnacentral:misc_RNA from 1 species